AGCAAGACCCUGAAUUGGGCAGUAUCGUGAAGGACAAGAAGUCACUAUGAUGACUGCUCGAGGGUCACCAAGGUUGAGCCUCCUCAAAAAAGCUGUCGAAAGGGAUAGAGCAUCACCUCCUACAAGCAGUGUGACAAAGAGGAGGAGAGGGUCUCCCAAAGAAGAUAGAGCACAGUGGAAUGCAAGCCUUGAGAAAGAUCUUGUGGACUUGCUUCAUGAGCAUGCUACACCUGAACAUAAGGGUCAAAAUGGAUGGAGCUCAGAAGCAUGGAAUACGAUAGUGAAGAAAUUCCACCAAAAGAAUCCUUAUUCUAGGUACGAGAAGAAGAAAGUCCAAGAAAAGGAAAAAGAGUUAAAAAAGAAUACAAGAUGAUCAAAGAGAUAAGG